AGUUAAGUUCCCGUUCGAACCAGCGCACUUCCUUUUACCCCGUCUUCUGACAUCAUUAUUCCUCUACCACACUCUGCACUAAGUGGAUGAUGUGGUGAUACCAGAAAACGAGGACACACUCGUUGCUCCUACAUCCAGCGUUUACUUCACCAAGAAAGGCGUCGGUAGAACAGUGAUGCUCCUGUAGAUGAUGUGCACAUGUUGGUUUACUUCAGCGAUCUGGCUGCCAGAAAUUCCAAGGCAGCCUCUUAAAGAAAAUGUGUGACUCAAGAAAUGAUGAGAGAUUUGAGACAUAUAGAGGAGCGAGGAGAGGUGCCACAUGCAUGGCUGGCCAGGAAAGAGAAGAAGCUCAGCCAAUAGGUUUAAAGAGAGCAGCAGAUGUCAUUAGGCGGGGGAGCACCACCUCCUCGAGCCGGAGCAUCCCACUCCGUGAAAAGAGAGCAAAGAGCGGUGCUCCAGCACACGGCUGCAGCCUCCGGUACCGGUCCCUCCGUCCCCCUCAUCACCGCAGCAGGAGCAACGGCAACAGCAGCAGUGCAGUGCAGGUAAUUGUCAUACGAGUUCCCGGCCGCUGCGAGGGAGGCGGAAUUUCAUUACCUGCCGGGCACCGUGAGGCCCAGCCCUGGAGAUGGCAG